rnacentral:snoRNA from 1 species
GAGUUAGCGAUGAUUAUAAAAUAAUUCUUCAUUCUGAUUUGCUUAACUUAGACAUGACAAACCUCUUAUUAUAACUAUAGAAUUUGAGCUCC